rnacentral:lncRNA from 1 species
GACUGCUGCGGGUGCCUUUAUUUUCAGUCGACAGAAUUGGUUAUGCAUUCCUUUGUUCUUUGUUUACACUGAAGUUCAGCUAUUUGUUUAAGUGAUUUAUUCUGUUAAAGAAGAGAUUAUUUUUUUUGUCAGAAAUUUAAUUGCAAUAUAUUUAUAAUAAAUAGUUUUUCAGUUCAUUUGUGAAUGUGUAUGUUUGUAUUUGUAUUCUUGUUUUCUUUCUAGCUCAGUUGAGGAAAGUCAUUUUGAUUUGCUUUGACUUAAGAAGAACCUGAGAUUAAAGCCCAAAAACCCAUAAGGGUGGUCUUGUGAGAAGAAAGGAUUUGUACCUUUUAAAGGCUCUGUUCCAAAUCCUCACAACACGGUCCACUGGAAUGCACUUCCAUUCAGGCACAAAACCGUUGUUGACAGCCUUCCUGACCUCUCUUGCAAUACAUUUUUUACCCUUAGAUAUUGCAACAUGAAGACCUAUUCCCUUGCCUCACGGCUGUUUGAAAGAAGUGUCGUAUACGAGAAUAUUUCUGGGGCCAAGUAUGAGGGGCAUGUGGACUGGGAAAGUAUGGAUGAUGAUUUCUCCACUGGCAUCCAGCCAAUAUUGGAAAAUGCAACUCGCGAUUCCAAAGGCCACAGGAAGAAGAUGCAUUUUGCGCUUUUGCCUGAGAAGUACAAACCUUUGAUGGGGCAUGAUGAUGAGCUUGAGAAGAAGAAAAGAAAGAAGGAAAAGUACCAAAAAGUCAGAAAGAAUGUGAGGAAAGCCUUGACGUGUCUGGUGCUUGGGUUGUACAAUUUUGCUUUGGGAUAUUGUACUCCCAUGUCUGUGACUACUUUAACCCCUGAUUUUCAUCAAAGACUAAGCUGGUCAUGAAGAGUCUACAACUAUUCUGUCUGGGAAACAAGGAAAAAUGCUAUUAUAACAUAUCAAUUUACUGAAACAUUUCUAUUGAGUCCAUUCCAUUAUUAAUGUGUGCAUUGCAAAAAAUAACUGGUGACAUAAAAAAUAAAUGAAAAUAAAAAUAAAUGUGUUUGAC